rnacentral:lncRNA from 13 species
AUGGUUGGGGACAGCAGAAGUAUUUGCUGUUCUCUGGCAUUGCUGUCCCAUUCCUGCAUGAACGCUGACAAUGGCAUAAUACAGAGUCUCCCUAUGAUGCCCAAGCUGGUCUUUAACUCCGGACUUCAAGCAGUUCUCCUGCAUUGGCCUCCCAAAAUGCUGGGAUGACAGGUGUGAGCCACCAUACCUGGAGUUAGAAUGAAGAGCUUUGAAUGUCAUUUAAAGAUGCUAGAUACUAACUUGUAGGCUCUGAGGAGUCAUUGAAUUCUUUUUGGAAGAGGUACAGAAUGAUUCACACUCUUUAUUUUAUGUCUCCCUCUUAACUCUGUGUCACUAUUAAUUGUAUAAAUUGGCCUCUUUUUGCAGAAGCAGAAACUGAAACUUAGAAAACAUAAGUUAUUUUUCUCAUGUCAUAAUAGUGGUGACAAAGCUAAGCUUCUAGCCCAAGUCUUCCUCCUACCCUGCAGUUACCCAGCAUAGGAAAUGACCACCCUAAUAGGGCUUUUCAUUAUUAUUAAAACAUAAAAACAGAGUGUUUAAGAUAAGUGACUUAGUAUCAUUGCAGUAGGGAUUAUUAGCAGUCUCUUUUCAUUUUCUAAUGCAGGUUUCUGAAAUUUUAGGGUGCAUACAAAACUUUGGGAUUUUGAUUCAGUAGGUCUGGAAAGGCACCUGGGAUUCGGAAUUUCUAAUAAGCUUCCUAGUGAUCCUGAUGCCUUUGAUCUUUGAACCAAGUUUUUGCAGCAAGGUUUUAUAAAAUGUUUUUUGUCUCUUAGCCCUGCUUUAAAGAUGUACAUGAACUUAAAAUUUAACAUAUUGUCCUCAAAUACACUCAAUAUCAUCUCCCUUUUGCGUGUUACUCCAGCUGGCUUGUGUCUCUGAAUUUUGAAGGAUAAUCGAAAUUGAGUAUUUUGGAAAAGGAACUAACAGACUAACGGUGUCUGACCCAUUCCAGGGACACAAGCAGGCUGGCUAACUGUGUUCUUACUUAUAAACAUUCUUUUCCUCUACAACUUCUAUAACUCACUCUCUUCUCUCACUGACUCUUUCACAUUGGAAAUAUGACUUAAGUAUUUUAGAAACAAAAGCAGUAAAAAAUUAGGAUUCCUUUUUCUUUAAAGUAAGUUAAAAUUUAAAGAGC